rnacentral:lncRNA from 1 species
AUGAUUUUUCCAUUUCCUGUUUUGGCAUUGAAAAAUCAGCCAGAGUCAUUCAAAGAGUGUUUGACCUUUGAUGGUAAAAGAUUAGUGUACUUAAUUUUAUUUAAUUUAGAAGAGAUAAUUCCAAGGGUACUUGAUUAUGAUAUUACAAGAAUUAAAAACAUUUCAUUUUUCUUCAUUCACUCUAGUUUAAUAUUUAAACAAGGCAUUAAAUGAAUUUAGAGAGUGGUGCAUUUAUAAUAAAUCUAAGGGCAGCUCAGAGUUUUCCUCAAGGAUUUUUAACUUUUAAUCUGUCCUCAGAUUAGUGGCAAUGUUAAAAAAAAUUGUAGACAACCAGUAUGGUCUUGUUACCGUCCACCUGACUUUCCUUUUGUGAGCUAGUUUCUUGCCCAGCUCUAAGGCACCAUCUUUGGUCUCUGCCUCCCAAACUGGGCUCCCUUGGGUUCUGGAUGCUCCUGUUCUCUCUAGAUGAUCUUUCCCAUUGAUAAACCUUGUCUCUUCCACUGCCCACCUGCUGCCCCCUACCCUUAACCUCAGCCUUCACUGACCCUAUUGCCCUAGUGGAGGUUGCCCUUCCUCUCUGCAAUACAGUGUCUUCUUUGGAGGCACUCAAGACAGUCAGUUGCAAUUAUGUAUUUAGUUCUUUUUUUCCCCUUGACUGAAUCUGAAAAUUUCCAAUCUCAUCUUCUUCCUGAUAUACCUAUUGCCUUUUCAAAGAGCAGUCUGCAGAGUGUGGGGAAUACAUUUAAAUCAUGCUAAGUAUUUAGGAAUGCUUUCAUAAUGGAACUCUUUUGGACUCUGCUGUUAUAAAUACUCCAACAAUGACCCAGGAUCAGGAUUCAGGAUUAUUUGUAAAAGAUUUCAGUUACUAGUGAGGAAAGAUGAUCCAUGUGAUCAACUCCAUAUUUUAAAAACACUAAGUCACUGAGUUAUGUAAGUUUGGGGAUAUCCAGUGAAGGAUAAAAAAGAAAAACACUUUGUUAAUAAAGUUUUCUGUUUGCAGAAGUUCUUAACAGAUAUUUUUCUCCAGAUUUUAACUGUCUUAUCAUGAGUCAGCCUUAUGAUUGCAAAGCCUCGGUCUUGUUAAUAAUGUAUAACUUCAAAUGAAUCAUGAGCUUAUGCAUAGCACUUGAGUAUGCAAAUUUUAUAAUACUCCUAAUCUGAAGGCUCAUAUUUUUCUGUUUAUUUAAAAGUGUUAGGUCUCAUUUGCAUUGCAUUUUAUAGCUCUAUUAUGUUCUAUAUAAUCUCUACGUGUCACAUUCUAUCUAGUUUGUGUCCCCUGAGGGCACUUUAAUUAUAUGCUUUAGUUCUUGAGUUCUUUUAUGUAUUUUUCAGAAAUAAUUUCUUCUCGUUAUUUUUCUUACAAUGGAUCUUAAAAUAGCAAAAAUAGUUGCUCUGGAACCUGCUGUUAUAGAUGUCAGUUUUCUAGGAGAUUUAUUUUCUUUUUUGGCCUUUAUGACAUUUUGUAUUACUUUUAGAGUCUUAUCUAUAACCCCAGGGCUUCCCUUGUGGCUCAGCUGGUAAAGAAUCCUCCUGCAAUGCGGGA